rnacentral:rRNA from 1 species
CCCUUAGAUGUUCUGGGCUGCACGCGUGCUACAAUGGCGUUUCCAGCAAGUCUGCGAACCCGAGAGGGCCAGCGGAUCUUCGAAUUGGCGUCGUGAUCGGGACAGUCGAUUGCAAUUAUUUGACUCAAACGAGGAAUUCCUUGUAAUCGCGAUUCAUCAUAUCGCGCUGAAUACGUCCCUGCCCUUUGUACUCACCGCCCGUCGCUCCUACCGAUUGAGCGAUCCGGUAAAUGUUUUGGAUUGGUGCCGGGGCGGCUAGCCGCCGGUCGCUACGAAAUUUUGCGAACCUUAUCGCUUAGAGGAAGGAAAAGUCGUAACA